GAGAUACCCAGGCAAGUCACAUCUCAUUCUCUCUAGACUGCACAUUAGACUUUCUCUACCAUGCCUCAUUCCCACAUAACCCACUUUCAGCUUUCUUUCAUGUAUUUCUUCCCCCAUUAGAAAGUAAGAUCCCUCAGGUCAGGGACUGUCUCUCAGCUCUAGCAUAGUGCCUGGCACAUAAAUGUUUAAUAAAAGCUUGUUGACUGAUUAACUUGUAAACCUUACAAAACCAUGUAAAUGCCAACUAUUAAAUAAAGCAGUGUGGUAUAGUGAGUGAAAGUGAGCCCCAAAGAUCUCCUGCCAGCAUAUAUGGACCAAGCAUAACUGAGCAAGUCACUUAAUCUCUCAGUUUAGCUGUCUAGGCCAGUGGCGUCAAACUCAAAUAGAAAUGGGCCCCCGAAUGGUCUAUAAGAAUUUAGGUAAGUUGACAGAUAAUGUCUCCCAGCCUCUGUCUGCAUAGCCACCGGAACAACCAGCUGAAAAAGUGAAAAGUUUAGUCAAUCAGCUGAUUGCUUUGUGUACCCAACACCUAUCAGCAGGAGCUGACAACAGGUAAAUGCCUUGAGGUGCUAGGACCGAGGACCCAGCAGGAUGUAAACACACUUGUCAGAUGCUGUAACCAGAAGUCAGCCAUGGUCUGAGGAGCCUGCUUUCACCAAGAGAGUGAAGAAAGAUGGUGGCACACAGGGUGAAGAUAGAAGAGUGAUUACCAAAAAUGGCUAUGAUUUGAAAACAAAAGAUAUUAAUAAAAUUUUAAAAAAAGGAGAGGAAGGAGGGAUAAAUGAAGUGAAGGAGAAAGGAAAAGGAAGAAGAUAUCAUCUUGUACAUAGUAGGCUAUCCUUAUAAGCUUCUGGGAUAGAAGAUGGAGUGGACAAGGCAGAGGCAGUGGAGAGGAACUGGGAAGAGAAAAUGGCCAGUGGACAGAGCUGGAGUGACAAUGUUGGCAAAGACAUGGCACCCGUGUGCAGCUGUCACUCUGGGAGCUACUCUGUUCCCCCU
rnacentral:lncRNA from 1 species